rnacentral:rRNA from 1 species
CCUUCGGGAACGUCUGACACAGGUGCUGCAUGGCUGUCGUCAGCUCGUGUCGUGAGAUGUUGGGUUAAGUCCGUAACGAGCGCAACCCUGUCCUUAGUUACCAGCACGUUAUGGUGGGCACUCUAAGGAGACUGCCGGUGACAAACCGGAGGAAGGUGGGGGAUGACGUCAAGUCAUCAUGGCCCUUACGGCCUGGGCUACACACGUGCUACAAUGGUCGGUACAAAGGGUUGCCAAGCCGCGAGGUGGAGCUAAUCCCAUAAAACCGAUCGUAGUCCGGAUCGCAGUCUGCAACUCGACUGCGUGAAGUCGGAAUCGCUAGUAAUCGUGAAUCAGAAUGUCACGGUGAAUACGUUCCCGGGCCUU